rnacentral:lncRNA from 1 species
AGUCGGCGCCCGGAAGAGGCGAGACUCGCGCUUGGGUUCUCAAUCCUUCUCUUUUCUCCUUUCUUUUUCCCUUUCUCCUCUCCGGUUCCUGAUUUAGCUGGGAGCUGUUUAUUUAUGGCUGCAAAUGUGUGUGUUCAAGAGAGAGAGGGAAUUGAUCUUUGCCUGGACUUAAAGAUGGAGCCGAAGAAGCUGGAGGGAAUUUGGGCUUGUGCGUCUGGCCCAGACCCUGUGCGCCGAGCCCGAGGUCUAUCCUCCCCGCACCUCUCACCUCGCGACCUUGCAGGAAUCCGCGGGCCCGGAUGCUGCCCAGCUGACCCUCCUGCCCCGGGCCUGGCUGCAGAGAAAGUCUUCGGGCAGGAGGCCAUCCUGUUCCUGUCUUUAAAAUGAGCACAAUAAAAGGGGGCAAAUCCUCGAACGCGAACCUGAUCUCAUGUCACAGAAGCAACUUGCCAUGAAAUCCGCUAAUGCGCUGCGACUCGCCCACCAGGAUAAAUAACCCCAUCGUCCGUGUAAUCAGCACGUUCCCAAUGAAGUCGUUUUCCUAGAAUGCGCUCUCCGCCUGCCACACUUGAGGAAUCCAGCCCACAGAGGUUUCGGAAACCCAGUUUGAGUGAUUCCAGCCUAGACUGAAACCCUGAGAGCCUCCCAGGAAAGAGAGCCCGGCCUGGGCCAAGCAGUCGGACACACACACACACACACACACACACACACACACACACACACACACACACACGGACUGCGUAGCUCUUCGCAGGAUCGAAGGCUGGAUGCGGAUCUGGGAGGCGGUGGCUAAGCGAACCAGGAAGACUGUGACGGAAACCAAUACAGCAGUGUCAUCUUGAAAGUUAUUUGGAAGAACAGGACCUGGAGUCUGGGUUUGAAUCAAAAAAUUGUGAGCAAGGGACAGAUCACCCUGUAUUUCUCUGGAACGAGGCAGAACUGAGACCUGCUCAGCUGAACCAGCGUGGCCACAUAUUGGGGACUAGGAAAUUGUUCUCAGACACUGUAGCACACACAUCCUCUGACAGCGAGCUCACUCCUGCGCAGUGGGCUUCUGGUUCUGCCACUGCACUCCACAAACGCCCUACAGGCCUCCUCCAGGUUUUGCCAGGCAAAUGAAACGAGCACAACUCGAUAGUAAAUUAUUUUGUUCAGCCUUCUCUCUUUUUAUGAAAAUAAGAGGCAACACUUUGUCAUUUUUAAUCACAUAAGCAGACAAUAAAUCUAAUUUUGAUAUUGA